GCGUGGAAACAGAGCUCUCUGCUGUCCUCCUUCUAAAUAAUCAAAGUCCCAGAUUGUUGAAAGUCUUUAUUUGUAGAAUAAAUACUGUAGUUGGGUUGUUUACUAUGAACCUGGUGCAUCACAAGACACAAACAACCGACAGAUGAGGAAGUGAAGCUGGAAGUUUAAACAUGAACAACAUCAAUAGUGAGCAAAUGCGUGUGUGAACAAGUUUGAGAAAAUCAAGGGCUUGGUCACUGGAGUGUUUUCAUAAUGGAGUCCAGUGUUCAGGUAAGGCCAGGUGAGUGUUGGUGUUGAUACAGGUGUGUUCAGGUGGAGGUGAGACCAGGUUAGUGUUGGUGUUGAUACAGGUGUUCAGGUGGAGGUGAGACCAGGUGAGUGUUGGUGUUGAUACAGGUGUUCAGGUGGAGGUGAGACCAGGUGAGUGUUGAUACAGGUGUGUUCAGGUGGAGGUGAGGCCAGGUGAGUGUUGUUGUUGAUACAGGUGUGUUCAGGUGGAGGUGAGGCCAGGUGAGUGUUGAUACAGGUGUGGUCAGGUGGAGGUGAGGCCAGGUGAGUGUUGGGGUUGAUACAGGUGUUCAGGUGGAGGUGAGGCCAGGUGAGUGUUGAUACAGGUGUGGUCAGGUGGAGGUGAGGCCAGGUGAGUGUUGGUGUUGAUACAGGUGUGUUCAGGUGGAGGUGAGGCCAGGUGAGUGUUGUUGUUGAUACAGGUGUGUUCAGGUGGAGGUGAGGCCAGGUGAGUGAUGGUGUUGAUACAGGUGUGUUCAGGCGGAGGUGAGGCCAGGUGAGUGUUGGUGUUGAUACAGGUGUGUUCAGGCGGAGGUGAGGCCAGGUGAGUGUUGGUGUUGAUACAGGUGUUCAGGUGGAGGUGAGGCCAGGUGAGUGUUGGUGUUGAUACAGGUGUGUUCAGGUGGAGGUUAGGCCAGGUGAGUGAUGGUAUUGAUACAGGUGUGUUCAGGUGGAGGUUAGGCCA